GCAGCAUGAGAGAAAAGAGCCUGAACGCGUGUCCGUCCAUUUCUCUCCAGCCCAGCUGCCAUUGAGCUGGACCUGGGCAGGGUCUGGGUCUCUGCUGGAAGAAAGAGGUCUGGCAUAAGUGCUGAGCAUAGGCACAAGCACUGUCUGCCCUGUUAUUGUCCACGCACUGAAGAAUAUUCGCUCCUCUAUAAAGGGAAGAUUAAGAGGUGGGCAGAACGCUGCACAAACACCGAAACAUUUAUGAACACAGACACCAGCUACUAAUAACCUUUGCAUGCAAGGACGGGCUCUCUACAAGCCUCAUAUUGGUUAGAAGUAAACUGCAACACGACUUACCCAAAGUGCUCUUGGCCUUAACGGGAGCAACCUUGCGGACAGGUAGGGUGUUGGAGAAGGUCCCGGCGCCUUGUCUGUGGACCUGUGGGGAUGGUCUUUCAUGUGCG